AAUAGAUACCCAGGUAGUCCACGCCGUAAACGAUGGAUACUAGCUGUUUGACCGCAAGGUUGAGUGGCUAAGCGAAAGUGAUAAGUAUCCCACCUGGGGAGUACGAACGCAAGUUUGAAACUCAAAGGAAUUGACGGGGGCCCGCACAAGCGGUGGAGCAUGUGGUUUAAUUCGAUGAUACGCGAGGAACCUUACCAGGGCUUAAAUGUAGUUUGACGUAUUUGGAAACAGAUAUUUCUUCGGACAAAUUACAAGGUGCUGCAUGGUUGUCGUCAGCUCGUGCCGUGAGGUGUCAGGUUAAGUCCUAUAACGAGCGCAACCCCUGUUGUUAGUUGCCAGCGAGUAAUGUCGGGAACUCUAACAAGACUGCCAGUGUAAACUGCGAGGAAGGUGGGGAUGACGUCAAAUCAUCACGGCCCUUACGUCCUGGGCCACACACGUGCUACAAUGGACGGUACAGAGAGCAGCCACUUAGCAAUAAGGAGCGAAUCUAUAAAACCGUUCUCAGUUCGGAUCGGAGUCUGCAACUCGACUCCGUG
rnacentral:rRNA from 1 species